rnacentral:rRNA from 1 species
AUUGAACGCUGGCGGCAUGCUUUACACAUGCAAGUCGAACGGCAGCGCGGGCUUCGGCCUGGCGGCGAGUGGCGAACGGGUGAGUAAUACAUCGGAACGUGCCCAGUAGUGGGGGAUAGCCCGGCGAAAGCCGGAUUAAUACCGCAUACGACCUGAGGGUGAAAGCGGGGGAUCUUCGGACCUCGCGCUAUUGGAGCGGCCGAUGGCAGAUUAGCUAGUUGGUGGGGUAAAGGCCUACCAAGGCGACGAUCUGUAGCUGGUCUGAGAGGACGACCAGCCACACUGGGACUGAGACACGGCCCAGACUCCUACGGGAGGCAGCAGUGGGGAAUUUUGGACAAUGGGCGAAAGCCUGAUCCAGCAAUGCCGCGUGUGUGAUGAAGGCCUUCGGGUUGUAAAGCACCUUUGGCGGGAACGAAAAGGACUGUGCCAAUACCACGGUUCGAUGACGGUACCCGCAGAAUAAGCACCGGCUAACUACGUG